CAAGAAGAGUAUAGAAACACAGAAAUUGCUAACUAUCUGACCCGUGGUUAAAUUCCACGACCUUCUU
rnacentral:tRNA from 2 species